rnacentral:lncRNA from 1 species
UUUUGUAUGAAAUUGUUUGUUUUUGCCGUUUUAUUGUUUUUUCGCACACGUGCUGUUAGUUUAUUUUCGUCUUACUGGCUUGAAUGUUCCGUUGGUAUAUUUUGCACAUACAUUGUAGCAAUUAUUCACUGCGUGAAAACAAAACAAAAAAGCCCCCAUAAAAACACUGUCAUGCGUCCGCUGGCUUUUCUGGAUCUUUCUUCUCCAGGAAAGCUCAAAGCCGAAUAUUAGAAACCCCAGGGGUUAUAAGAACCAAAUCAGUCGAAGAGAUACAUGAUCAAAACGUAUUAAAAAUAAAAUCUAAAUCUAUCAGAAGACCAACUACGAUCGAGGGGUCUGAAACCUGUGUUUCGGAAUUAACGCACAGUUUAUAAACGGAC